rnacentral:rRNA from 1 species
UACGUAGGGGGCUAGCGUUGUCCGGAAUCAUUGGGCGUAAAGCGCGUGUAGGCGGCCCGAUAAGUCCGCUGUGAAAGUCCAGGGCUCAACCCUGGGAUGCCGGUGGAUACUGUCGGGCUCGAGUCCGGAAGAGGCGAGUGGAAUUCCUGGUGUAGCGGUGAAAUGCGCAGAUAUCAGGAGGAACACCAAUGGCGAAGGCAGCUCGCUGGGACGUGACUGACGCUGAGACGCGAAAGCGUGGGGAGCGAACCGG